rnacentral:rRNA from 1 species
AGAGUUUGAUCAUGGCUCAGGGUUAACGCUGGCGGCGUGCCUAACACAUGCAAGUCGAGCGAGGACCUGGUUCCCGCAAGGGAGCUGGGCACCUAGCGGCAAACGGGUGAGUAACACGUGGGCAACCUGUCCCUUCGCGGGGGAUAACACCGAGAAAUCGGUGCUAAUACCGCAUGUCAUCGAUGGUGGCAUCACCGUCG